rnacentral:ncRNA from 3 species
GGGAGUUUGACUGGGGCG